AAACCGUGAUUUGGAAUUUUCUGCAAAUACUCCUUAAAUAUCUCCCAAGCUUCAUAUAAUUGUUCCCCCGGUCGCUGUUAAAUUCAUAAAUCUUAUCACGAAUCU